rnacentral:rRNA from 1 species
UACGGGGGGGGCAAGUGUUGUUCGGAAUUACUGGGCGUAAAGGGCUCGUAGGUGGCCAACUAAGUCAGACGUGAAAUCCCUCAGCUUAACUGGGGAACUGCGUCUGAUACUGGAUGGCUUGAGUUUGGGAGAGGGAUGCGGAAUUCCAGGUGUAGCGGUGAAAUGCGUAGAUAUCUGGAGGAACACCGGUGGCGAAGGCGGCAUCCUGGACCAACACUGACACUGAUGAGCGAAAGCCAGGGGAGCAAACGGG